UGAGAUACGGAGAAGCACUUUAUUUGCCCGCUGGCACGUAAAAAGCUUUAUCCCCGAUUCAUUGUCGCCACAAAGAUGCUUUAUCGCCGCCAGACUACAGAUUCCUGCGCAGCAACGAAUAUGAACUCACGCCAUCUCGUACCUGUCUAUCCCGCCUGGUGGUGGAGGCGGGGCAGGACAUGGCUAUGGGACAAGCGAAUAUUACAUCCCGCAUUUAUCUUCUGGGCAAGGACAGCGGCAACGGCAGCGGCCCCAGCAACUUUGUCUUUAGUCAUUCAAUCCGACAGCCGGGAGUCAUCGUCAUCCUCCGCCCAACCAACGCUUUUUGGGGAUUAUGGAUAAUCACCUCGACAGAGGAGAAGCACAGAGAAGAGAGCUGAGAGCAGAGGAGCGGAAAUUUACCUACAGCCAUAUAGAAGAUCCUCUUUACUUACAAAAAACACCAUGCUAUCUUUCAUCUGAACUGCGGUAUAAUUCUUCAAAACUCAUCGUUUUCGUGGAGUGGCCCACUGGCCACUUCACUGGCCCACGUUCACUUUUCAGUGCCGCCCUGGUGAUUUUCCCACCUUAAAUCAGUUGAAACGCGCGCUUUCUUUUGCACAUGACCCGUUGGGACGGAUCGAUAGUGCAUUCACGAUUGCGUGCAUCGCGCCAGCAGCUGGUAAAUUAUUUAUUUGUACGACGAACGUGCUUCGCAGGUGCGACAUCAUCUUCCCUGCUGCACCAUGCUUUACCUCAUCGGCUGUGACCGGCCCUAGUGGCCGAUAGCCUCUCCAGCAACAACCUGCUAUGCCGCGAUCCUCUUCUCUUACCCCGCCAGGUCGUCGCCUCCAAUCUCCGCCGUCGGUACCUCAUCUGCGGGUGAUUCUGCCGUAGCUCCUGGUCCUCCCGGGAGGUCCAAGAGAUGACUCCUGGCGGGAUUGUAGCAGCACCUGCCUGUCCUGCUGGGGGCCAUGGCCAUGAUGCCGCUGCUAUGUCACUGAGUUGACAAUGUGGUCCUAUCAAAGCAUUACCGAGGCGUAAUGCUUGCAACCCAACAAGACAUCGUCAUCCUUCGAUCUAGCCAUCGACAACAAGGACAUUGACUAUGGCAAUCAAGGGAGGAGCUACGCGGGAUAGACUAUAGAUAGAUCUGGUUGUUGUUAGGUUUAAGGAUAUAUAUUAGAUAGUCCAUAUAUUUAGAUAGAUAGUAGAUAAAAAUGUU